rnacentral:pre_miRNA from 1 species
GAGGAAAAAAAAACCUUAUCUGUAUCGGGUUUCGCUGGCAAACGUGUUGUGUGGUGGGAGAAGGGGUUGCAUCUCGGGUAGCAGGGUCGCCUUCAGCCCGCCGCUGCGCCCCUCCCGGCCCAUUUUGGCUUCAAUUCGUUGUCGACGAAACCUGCAACGGACUGAAGGUGCAACUCAACU